GUUACCCAAAAUACCGAGCUUCUCUCUUUGAUUUUUCAAGUCAUGUGGUGUGAAAUCGUGGCCCCUUCAUAGUUUCUCUUCUCACCUUUCAUCAAAACCUAAUAAUUUCAUCUCAUCUCAUUUCAUAUCAUACUUCUAUGAUUUGGCGCAGGAUUGAGAAAUCCAUAAUUUCCUGUUUUGUCUUAUUGGGAUGGAUAAUGGUGAGAAUGGUAAACAAUUCAUUUCCAAUCAAUUCCAGGGUCGGAUAUAACGAUUUGCACGCUGCAUUGCUCAGGAAUGGAUUUUACCUUGUUACAACCGAUCCUACUCCUCCUACCCCUGUUACCACCAUCUCCUAGCAAGCCAUGUUCAAUUUCAACCGUCGUUUUCUGAGCAGUACCACGGUACAUACCGGACGCAACAAUGUACACGCUUCUGGUGCGGGAUGCAAGUGCACAAGGUCGACGAAAUAAGCAAAAUAGAAAGAACUCAGGUAUCAAGAAGAAAUGGUUUAUACAUUCUCACAAUCAUGUUGGGCAUCGUGUUAUGAAGAAGCUGUGUGUUGUUUAUGCUCACCUCUGAAUGUUUGUUUGGCUUCUGGAGAUUUGCAUAAGAGAGAUUUUCAUCAUUGCAUCAAUCAAUGGGGUCAUUUCUUGAUUGCUUUUCCACAGGCUUUUGAUAUAGUGUUAGAAUCUUUAGAGGAUCAGCAAGAGGAUGUACAGGCUGCAAUCUUGGAGAGGAGGAAUUUUAUUACACAAGAACUCCAAUGGCAUGCUUCAUUCAUCCAAGAGUGCGAUUUAGACCCUACAGCAGAGACCACUCAGCACUCUGUGACAGCCAAAUACGUUAACUUCUUGUUAGCCACUGCGUCUGGUAAUCAAGAUAUGGUACAUCUUGAAAUUCCAACGCCAGCUGAGAAGUUGAAGAUUGCUGCUCAUGUUCUUAGUGCUAUAACGCCAUGUGUGCGGGUCUCUGCCACGCUUGCUAAGCUUAUUAAGCCACUCACUAGACGUAACAAACGACCUCGCCGAUUCAAUAUGUCGAUCGAUAGAUGCUCCUCUGAUGAAUUCGAGGCCUUAACUGUGCAAACUGAGAGGUUACUUGAUUGGCUAAGCAACUCUUUGACGGACGAAGAGCGUAAAGUUCUGGGGGAGGUUUAUCAUCAAGCUAUGAAGCUUGAAGUAGAGUUUUUCUAUUCUCGCCUGUCUGUGCCUACUAAGCUCAUCCCUGUAUCACUCCUGCAUAAUCGUGAGGAGUGUCUCCUGCUAUUUUCUGUUUUUGACUUUGCAUGCACUGCUGUGGAUUCUUUGCAAGGGUUAGAACAAAUGACAUAGUCAACUGCCAAAGAGAAGUCAAUAGUUGGGCUGCCUCCUCGUCCUGGUCGAAGGCCUCGUCCUGGUCGAAGGCCUCGUCCAGGGAACACACAUCUUCAAAUGUCACGUGCGGAUUUGCAAAAAGCAUGGGAUGCUAUUGUUGUCUUUGAUAAGAGGGAGAUGGAUAAAUGGUUGCUGAAAAUUCUGGCCAUUCCAUAGCUGUGGGUUUUGACUACGACGGUCUUUGCAAAGUACUUGAGCAGCUCUCCGUUAUCAGGGAUAAUGGAAUUUCAAGAAUAAUUGAGACAGGUGUCCUGAAGGGUCUAAGCUUAUCGCGAAUGCAGCUCGCGGGGACAAGAAUGAAUCUCUAUUAUGGUUGUAUGAAUUUUUUUGAAAAGGUUUUCAGAAACGAAGCACUGAAUGCAUCAGUCCGUGUAAUUUCAUGCUGGUGUGAGGAUCGAAUGAGGUCGGCACUUCCAGGAUUACAUGCAAGCCUAGUAAUCCCUGUCCCUUCAACCAUUAUCCCCCCAUGCAAGGGCACACAGGAGGAAUUGGAUGAUCCACCUGGGAAAGAAGCAGAUGCCAUCUUGAUGAAGAUGCUGACCCUUUUGCCUUUCUACAUGUGUAGAUUCUGCAAGUGUUUCAUUGCAGCAACCGAACACAUGCACCAUUGACAAGGAGAUGAAUUACUGUGUUCUGUAUACCCUAGAAACCAAUACUACUUUUGUUCUGAGCCAGAAGUCGAGUGGCAACUAUAUGAGGAAGAACCACAGCACAUUAUAUAUCAUCAUAAUAUGGUAUAUUUUGAUGCCAAAUUGUUCUGCAUCGAGUGUGAAAGAAGAGGAAACGCAAAAAACCUUUUGGGCCAAAGACUGGGUCUGAUGGUUUGGGAUAAUCAUACUCGAAGACUAAGAAGACAUUCAAGCUCGGAGGUCUUCAUCCUCGUUUCUAAAGUAGAACAGGCGGUACAGUGAAGCAGUUCAUUGCAGGCACAUUAUCUCCCACAGACAUCCAAAUAUUCAAAAAAAAAAAGGGUGAUAUUUCUGUUCUAGUUUUGUAAUAUAACCUUAGUUUCCUUUUCUGUUUGCUACUCUUUUUUUUUUGUUUU